CUGUAGCUAAAAGACCUCCAAUGGCGUAGCAACACCUGUCCUGCUUUCUGACCUUUCUUUAUUUUUUUUUACUCUGAAAGUUGAAAACGACGUCGUUUCAGCUUCAGCAUUGUUUCUCUGGAAAUCGCGUGUUUCCUCUCCUUUCUACACACUCUGCCGUACAAUUCAUCAUCUUCUGUUUCUCUUCCGCCUCCAAUCUCCCUUCAACCCUAGCUGGCAACCACGUCACCUUGACCAGAAGAUGUGCUCUCCACGAUCUGCGGCUUCUUCUCAUGGCUUCUCCGGUGCUGGCUUUCACGUCAAUCCUUCAACCAUUACGUGGGGUGAGAAGAUUGAAGCAAAUGUGCGGCAAUCAAUGAUACCAAAAUUCUGUAGUUGCUUCCUGGAACAUGUAUUCAAUUGAUCUUGGUUGGAGUAGCUAUACUUGAUUUUGAUCACUUCCUUUGAGUUGCUAUUACUGUUGAUUUUGAAUACUGGAAACAUGUAGUUUCCAAGUCUUAUCUAAAUGGGAUGGGAAUUCAAUAGUCCAAUAUGUGGAAUGUUAUGGAUAUGAGAUCGAUCCAUGGAGGGUUUGCUGCCACUUUGAAGGAUUUGAAAGUUUGGGUAAUGAAUGUGGUUACAGUAGAUACACUUCCUAUUAUUUAUGAAAGAGAUCCUAUGAAUCUACAUUACAUGCUUUGUACCAGUCAUAUGUAUCAUCUUGGAAAGUUUUGGUGCACACAU